GUCUCCAGGUGUCACACAGGUGUCACACAGGUGUCACACAGGUGUCCCUGUCCCCUGGUGUCCCGGGCUGUCUGCAGGAGUUCCCAGGGCCUCCGGUGGCCCUUCAAGAUCCUGCUGAGCUUCGAGGACCUGCCAGGACCUGACCCCAGAGCACCGGGGGGCACCCGAAAUGCACAGCUGGACCCCAAAAUGGACACCUGGACCCCCAAAAUGCACAGCUGGACCCCAAAAUGGACACCUGGACCCCCAAAAUGCACAGCUGGACCCCAAAAUGGACACCUGGACCCCCAAAAUGCACAGCUGGACCCCAAAAUGGACACCUGGACCCCCAAAAUGCACAGCUGGACCCCAAAAUGGACACCUGGACCCCCAAAAUGCACAGCUGGACCCCAAAAUGGACACCUGGACCCCCAAAAUGCACAGCUGGAUCCGAAAAUCCUGUAAAGCACCCCAUGAAGCCUGAACCCCCAAACCUGGAGAUACCAGAAAUACCCCUGAACCCCAGCGGGUUUGGGGGGUGCCGGGGCUGGGAUCGCCUGUUUUGGGGUUUUGGGGUGUCCCAGGGUGGUGGCCCCCAUUUUUGGGGUGUCUCAGGGCUGUGCCCCCCCCCUGUUUUGGGGGUUUUGGGGUGUGGCAGGGUGGUGACCCCCCAUUUCUGGAGUUUUGGGGUGUCCCUGGUUGGUGUUUGGGGGUCCCAGGGCUGUGACUCCCCUGUUUUAACCUCCCCAGAUGGCAGCUCCCUCCCUUUGUCCCCAAACGGGGGUCCCCAAAACCGUCAGGGGUCCCCAAAAGGCCCUGGAGGGGGCCCCAACUCCCCAAGGCUUCGUUGUAAACGAGUUUGGGACCAAUCAAUAAAGUCUGGGAGAAAAA